CCCUAGUAACUGCGAGUGAAGAGGGAAAAGCUCAAAUUUAAAAUCUGGCAGCCUUGCUGUCCGAGUUGUAAUUUAGAGAAGUGUUACCCGCGCUGGGCCGUGUAUAAGUCUCCUGGAAUGGAGCGUCAUAGAGGGUGAGAAUCCCGUCUUUGACACGGACUUGCCAGGGCAUUGUGGUGCGCUCUCGAAGAGUCGAGUUGUUUGGGAAUGCAGCUCUAAAUGGGUGGUAAAUUCCAUCUAAAGCUAAAUAUUGGCGAGAGACCGAUAGCGAACAAGUACCGUGAGGGAAAGAUGAAAAGAACUUUGGAAAGAGAGUUAAACAGUACGUGAAAUUGCUGAAAGGGAAACGCUUGAAGUCAGUCGCGUUGGCCGGGGAUCAGCCUUGCUUCUUGUGAGGUGUACUUCCUGGUUGACGGGUCAGCAUCAGUUUCGACCAUUGGAAAAAGGCUUGGGGAAUGUGGCACCUUCGGGUGUGUUAUAGCCCCUUGUUGUAUACAGUGGUUGGGACUGAGGAGCUCAGCACGCCGCAAGGCCGGGUUUCGACCACGUUCGUGCUUAGGAUGCUGGCAAAAUGGCUUUAA
rnacentral:rRNA from 1 species